UCCCCGUUCUCCUGGGCAGUCUCUUUAGAGUGCCCGGCAUGACCCGAUGGCAACUAAAGACAGGGGUUGCGCUCGUUGCGGGACUUAACCCAACACCUCACGACACGAGCUGACGACAGCCAUGCACCACCUGCGCACUGGCCCCGAAGGGCUGCCGUAUUUCUACGGCUUCACCCCGCAUGUCAAGCCCUGGUAAGGUUCUUCGCGUCGCGUCGAAUUAAGCCACAUGCUCCGCCGCUUGUGCGGGCCCCCGUCAAUUCCUUUGAGUUUCAGCCUUGCGGCCGUACUCCCCAGGCGGGGCACUUACUGCGUUAGCGACGGCACCGGGAGGGUCGCUCCCCCCGACGCCUAGUGCCCAUCGUUUACGGCGUGGACUAC
rnacentral:misc_RNA from 1 species